rnacentral:rRNA from 1 species
GACGAACGCUGGCGGCGUGCUUAACACAUGCAAGUCGAACGGAAAGGCCCUGCUUUUGUGGGGUGCUCGAGUGGCGAACGGGUGAGUAACACGUGAGUAACCUGCCCUUGACUUUGGGAUAACUUCAGGAAACUGGGGCUAAUACCGGAUAGGAGCUCCUGCUGCUUGGUGGGGGUUGGAAAGUUUCGGCGGUUGGGGAUGGACUCGCGGCUUAUCAGCUUGUUGGUGGGGUAGUGGCUUACCAAGGCUUUGACGGGUAGCCGGCCUGCGAGGGUGACCGGCCACAUUGGGACGGAGAUACGGCCCAGACUCCUACGGGAGGCAGCAGUGGAGAAUAGUGCACAGUGGGCGGAAGCCUGAUGCAGCAACGCCGCGUGGGGGAUGACGGCCUUCGGGUUGUAAACCGCUUUCGCCUGUGACGAAGCGUGAGUGACGGUAAUGGGUAAAGAAGCACCGGCUAACUACGUG